CCCGGCCCCGGCGGGCGGGGAUCCAUCGGCAGCGCCCUUCUGGCAGUUUUUAGAGCCUGCCUGUGAAGAGAAGCCCCCCGGGAGAGCAGAGCCCGCCGCAGGAGCCGACAUCCUCACCCUAACCAAGGGAGAAGAGUCCUUUCCCUGCUCCAGCCUGGGCUCCU